UAUAGCUAGUGAUUUUUACUUGUAUGA
rnacentral:sRNA from 1 species